CAGGGAUUGCCCUAGUAACGGCGAGUGAAGCGGCAACAGCUCAAAUUUGAAAUCUGGCUUCGGCCCGAGUUGUAAUUUGCAGAGGAAGCUUUAGGCGCGGCACUUUCUGAGUCCCCUGGAACGGGGCGCCAUAGAGGGUGAGAGCCCCGUAUAGUUAGAUGCCUAGCCUGUGUAAAGCUCCUUCGACGAGUCGAGUAGUUUGGGAAUGCUGCUCAAAAUGGGAGGUAAAUUUCUUCUAAAGCUAAAUACCGGCCAGAGACCGAUAGCGCACAAGUAGAGUGAUCGAAAGAUGAAAAGCACUUUGAAAAGAGGGUUAAAUAGCACGUGAAAUUGUUGAAAGGGAAGCGCUUGUGACCAGACUUGCGCCGGGCAGAUCAUCCGGUGUUCUCACCGGUGCACUCUGCCCGGCUCAGGCCAGCAUCGGUUCUCGCGGGGGGAUAAAGGCCCUGGGAACGUAGCUCCUCCGGGAGUGUUAUAGCCCGGGGCGUAAUGCCCUCGCGGGGACCGAGGUUCGCGCAUCUGCAAGGAUGCUGGCGUAAUGGUCAUCAGCGACCCGUCUUGAAACACGGACCAAGGAGUCAAGGUUUUGCGCGAGUGUUUGGGUGUAAAACCCGCACGCGUAAUGAAAGUGAACGUAGGUGAGAGCUUCGGCGCAUCAUCGACCGAUCCUGAUGUUUUCGGAUGGAUUUGAGUAGGAGCGUUAAGCCUUGGACCCGAAAGAUGGUGAACUAUGCUUGGAUAGGGUGAAGCCAGAGGAAACUCUGGUGGAGGCUCGCAGCGGUUCUGACGUGCAAAUCGAUCGUCAAAUCUGAGCAUGGGGGCGAAAGACUAAUCGAACCAUC
rnacentral:rRNA from 2 species